GGGAUUCCUGUCUAUUCCAACGGAUAGAGAUUGGAAUCAGGCCCAUGGUUGAUUGGAGCGAUGUGUUGGACGGUGAGUGGGUGCGCAAAUGGUAUAUGUAAACGACGUCAGACCGGCUCGUCUCGGAGGCCAACCGCUCGCACCAUUGAGAUGACUGGAAAUGAAAUGGAUAAUCCAUUUUGACUUUUGAAAAAGUGGCAGCAGGAGCUUACAGUUCAGUGAGAAUAAGGGGUCUCAAAUCAGCGCGAGAUAUCGUACGUAGAUGUUCACACGAUGUACUGUACAUAUACCAUAAAUAUUUGAGCAUCAAUAAGAAAAUAAAAUAAAAUAAAAUAACACAAAGGUAAAGGAAAACAGUACGAAGGUGCUCCAAAAUAGAGCGAAAAUUGGAAAUUUCCCUUCUCUAGUAAAAUACAUCAGUCAAAAACAAAGCUAAGAAGAGGCAGAAUAAGAAAGGGGUCCAAGGGG
rnacentral:sRNA from 2 species